rnacentral:rRNA from 1 species
CACCGCGGUUAUACGAGUGAGCUCAAGAUGAUAUACAACGGCGUAAAGCGUGAUUAAAGACAUAAUUAAACUAAAGUUGAACACCCCUUAAGCUGUUAUACGUUAAUAGGACGAGGAAGACCCACAACGAAAGUAACUUUAACAAACUCUUGAACUCACGACCGUUGAGAAA